AGUGACGUCAAGUCCUCAUGGCCUUUAUGACCAGGGCUACACACGUACUACAAUGGCCGAUACAAAGGGCAGCGACACUGCGAGGUGAAGCCAAUCCCGUAAAAUCGGUCUCAGUCCGGAUUGGAGUCUGCAACUCGACUCCAUGAAGUUGGAAUCGCUAGUAAUCGUGGAUCAGCAUGCCACGGUGAAUACGUUCCCGGGCCUU
rnacentral:rRNA from 1 species